rnacentral:rRNA from 1 species
GACGAACGCUGGCGGCGUGCUUAACACAUGCAAGUCGAGCGAGCGGCGGACGGGUGAGUAAUGUAUGGGGACUGCCCGAUCGAGGGGGGUAACUACUGGAAACGGUGGCUAAUCCCGCCUCCUCUCGGAUCCCCCAUAUGGGAUUAGCUAGUAGGUGGGGUAAAGGCUCACAUAGGCGCCGAUCUCUAGCUGGUCUGAGAGGAUGAUCAGCCACACUGGGACUGAGACACGGCCCAGACUCCUACGGAGGCAGCAGUGGGGAAUAUUGCACAAUGGGCGCAAGCCUGAUGCAGCCAUGCCGCGGGUAUGAAGAAGGCCUUAGGGUUGUAAAGUACUUUCAGCGGGGAGGCGUUACCCGCAGAAGAAGCACCGGCUAACUCCGUGCCAGCCGCCGCGGUAAUUC